GCUGGAUGCAUGAAACACGGAAGGGAGGGGCCAGCCGACUCUGUUUGUUUGGGAGCUUGCUUCAAAUACCAACAGAACGUCACCGGACUACACCCAAACAUCGCUGAUACAACCUUUAAUAAUAGAAGUCGGUUUCAGCAUGUGAUGAUAAGAACAUGUGAAACCACAUUCCUGCGUCAACAUCAUUAACUUAGGGAUAACUGGCCCCACACCGCUGUUUUGCUCCUCAUAGAGACCUGGAGGUCUCUUAGGGAGAAGUUUGAGUGUCCCACCAUAAAAAAAAAACAAGCUUGGGAGAUGGUUGCGGAGUGCCUCAGAAAGGAAGCAGUUAAUGUGACAUGGCAGAUGUGUGACAACAAGUGGAGGAACCUUAGGCACAGAUACAAAAUCAUCAGUGAUGGGCAUGGGAAGACAGGACAGGGCCGGCGAAAGUGGGAGUAUUUUGCCGUGCUGGAAGAACUUUUUGCUGGCGACCCAGCUGUGCAGCCCACAGUAGUCAUCUCCUCAACCCCAACAUUCACAACCCCUCCCCCACCACCACCACCAGAUCAGGAAACACCAUCAACUUCAGCUACCAUGACUACGCCACCGGUGAAGCCGAAAACAAAAAAAGACAAAUUGGAUGACAAAUUAGAGGAAAUCAUUAAAUUACAAAAAGAAACGAUAGCUUUUCAAAAAGAAAGAAAUGACAUCCUUAGGCAAUUCACUGCAGCCAUGGUUCGCAUGUCUCAGGGCAAUGAGCAGUAACUUAUUUAUUUUAUUUUAAUAAUUGACUUUAUCUAACUUAUUCCAUUUAUUAAUUUAUGUAAU